rnacentral:lncRNA from 1 species
AAUGUGUGCAAGAUUACACAGAUGGAGAGACACAGGAUCUGAAUGAAGCUAUCUACUUUCAGGCUCCACACCCUAACUCUUACUCCAGGCUCCCUUUUGUAUUGAAGAGGCUGAAAAUUUCAAGACUACAUUUUCCGGGCUUCCUCCCAGAAGAAGAAAAACUUUGGAUGCCAUCAAAGUUGAUCAAGAUUCCAGUAGAAAAAGAAAAACCUCUCAAUGAGGAGAAAUGACAGCCAAUGAAGAACUGCCUAACAGCAAUCCUUAAACUCUCUGGAAAGAAAAUGGUACCCACCUCAUCGAGUCCACUGGAUCCAACUUGAUUGUUUUGAACUGACACUCUGGCCAGAGCUUCCAGUAGUGACUCCAAUUAACACAAGAACUUCAAUCAAGAAUAAGGACUUCAAUCUAGAUCUUCAAUCAAGCGUCUCCCACCACACAAG